rnacentral:rRNA from 1 species
UUUUUGUUUUUGGGGCGCAUGGUGGAUGCCUGGGUAUGCUAAGCCGAUGAAGGACGUGAUAGGCUGCGUUAAGCCUCGGGGAGUUGCCUGAUGAGCGUUGAUCCGAGGGUGUCCGAAUGGGGAAACCCGGCCAUGGUUAUGUGUGGUCACCCGCCAGUGAAGAAAAUAGUUGGUUGGGGGGUUACGCGGGGAAGUGAAACAUCUUAGUACCCGUAGGAGGAGAAAACAAGAGUGAUUCUGCUAGUAGUGGCGAGCGAACGUGGAUAAGGCUAAACCGUGUGCGUGUGAUACCGGGUAGGGGUUACGCAUGCGGGGUUGCAGGAGCACAGCGGACCAGUUCUACCUCAGCUGGUGCUGUUGUUGGUGUGUGUUAGUGGAAGUGGUGUGGAAUCGCCUGCCAGAGACGGUGAGAGUCCGGUACACGAAAACACACGCGAACGGGGUUGUUGUGUUUCCUGAGUAGCGGCGGGCUCGUGGAAUCUGUCGUGAAUUUGCCGGGACCACCCGGUAAGCCUAAAUACUUAGCAUGACCGAUAGUGGAAUAGUACCGUGAGGGAAUGGUGAAAAGUACCCCGGGAGGGGAGUGAAAGAGUACCUGAAACCGGGCGCCUGCGAGCCGUCAGGGCCUGGCUGUCUCGUGCUUCCUGGUAUGGGGGGUGCGGGGGCUGGGUGGUGGCGUGCCUAUUGAAGAAUGAGCCUGCGAGUCGUGCUGUGUGGCGAGGUUAACCCGUGUGUGGGGUAGCCGUAGCGAGAGCGAGUCCUAGGUGGGCGUGUGAGUCGUGUGGUGCGGACCCGAAGCGGGGUGAUCUACCCAUGGCCAGGUUGAGGCGCGUGUAAGAGCGUGUGGAGGACCGUACCCGCCUGGGUUGAAAACCGGGGGGAUGAGCUGUGGGUAGGGGUGAAAGGCCAAUCAGACUCCGUGAUAGCUGGUUCUCCCCGAAAUGCAUUUUGGUGCAGCGUCGUGUCCUGCCCGGCGGAGGUAGAGCUACUGGGUGGCUGAGGGGCCCUGCAGGGUUACCGGGGUCAGCCAAACUCCGAAUGCCGUCUGGGUAGCGGGUGCGGCAGUGAGACUGCGGGGGAUAAGCUUCGUGGUCGAGAGGGAAACAGCCCGGACCGUCGGCUAAGGCCCCUAAGCGUGCGCUAAGUGGGAAAGGAUGUGCGGUCGCGCAGACAGCCAGGAGGUUGGCUUAGAAGCAGCCAUCCUUGAAAGAGUGCGUAAUAGCUCACUGGUCGAGUGGUUCUGCGCCGAUAAUGUAGCGGGGCUUAAGCACACCGCCGAAACCGCGGCAACACACGCGAAAGUGUGUUGGGUAGGGGAGCGUCGUGCAUGUGUUGAAGCUAGCUGGUGACAGGUGGUGGAGUGUGUGCGAGUGAGAAUGCAGGCAUGAGUAACGAUUGAUGUGUGAGAAACAUAUCCGCCGGAUGACUAAGGGUUCCUGGGUGAAGUUUGUCUUCCCAGGGUGAGUCGGGGCCUAAGGCGAGGCCGACAGGCGUAGUCGAUGGAUGACGGGUUGAUAUUCCCGUACCCGUGUGCGUGCGACAAGUGAUGAAUCUUAUGGUACUAACCGCCCGCCUGCGUGCACUAAUCUUUUUGGUUGGUGUGUGUGGGUGCGUGGGAUCUUCGUGGGUAGUAGUCAAGUGAUGGGGUGACGCAGAGUGGUAGCUAGGCUUCCUUAUUGGAUUGGAGUGCAAGCGUGUGGCCUGUGGGGUUGGGAAAUCCGCCCCGCAUAGAAGGGUGAGGCGUGAUGCGGACACCAUGAUUGUGGUGGUAGUUAGUGUGCCUGUGCUGUCGAGAAAAGCCUCUAGCGAGUGCGUGCAUGGCCCGUACCGGAAACCGACACAGGUGGUCAGGUAGAGAAUACUAAGGCGUUCGGGUGAACUGUGGUUAAGGAACUCGGCAAAAUGCCCCCGUAACUUCGGGAGAAGGGGGACCAUUACUAGUUGCUGACAGCAAGAAAGCUGGUGGUGGUCGCAGAGGAGAGAGGGAAGCGACUGUUUAUUAAAAACACAGGUCCGUGCGAAAACGUGGAAGUUGAGGUAUACGGACUGACGCCUGCCCGGUGCUGGAAGGUUAAGAGGACCCGUGAGCACGCCUUAUGUGUGUGCGAGGCGGAGAAUUGAAGCCCCAGUAAACGGCGGUGGUAACUAUAACCAUCCUAAGGUAGCGAAAUUCCUUGUCGGGUAAGUUCCGACCUGCACGAAUGGCGUAACGACUUCCCUGCUGUCUCAACCACAGGCCCGGUGAAAUUGCAGUACGAGUAAAGAUGCUCGUUUCGCGCGGCAGGACGAAAAGACCCCGGGACCUUUACUAUAGCUUGGUAUUGGUGUUUGGUCAUGCUUGUGUAGGAUAGGUGGGAGACUGUGAAGCCGCAACGCUAGUUGUGGUGGAGUCGGUAAGUGAAAUACCACUCUGGUGUGAUUGGGUACCUGAACCUUGGCCCGUGAUCCGGGUUGGGGACAGUGCCUGGUGGGUAGUUUAACUGGGGCGGUUGCCUCCUAAAUGGUAACGGAGGCGCCCAAAGGUUUCCUCAGUCUGGUUGGCAAUCAGAUGGUGAGUGUAAGUGUAUAAGGGAGCUUGACUGUGACACUGACGGGUGGAGCAGGUGCGAAAGCAGGGACUAGUGAUCCGGCAUCUACGUGUGGUUGUGGUGUCGCUCAACGGAUAAAAGGUACCCCGGGGAUAACAGGCUGAUCUUCCCCAAGAGUUCAUAUCGACGGGAUGGUUUGGCACCUCGAUGUCGGCUCGUCGCAUCCUGGGGCUGGAGUAGGUCCCA